rnacentral:rRNA from 1 species
AGAGCGAACGCUGGCGGCGUGGAUUAGGCAUGCAUGUCGAGCGAGAAAGGGGGGCAACCCCUGAGUAAAGCGGCACAAGGGUGAGUAAUGCGUGGACAACUUGCCCUCGAGACUGGGACAACGGCGGGAAACUGCCGCUAAUACCGGAUGGCCUUGCUUCGUGGCAUCGUGGAGCAAGUAAAGGUGGGGACCCUUCGGGGCCUGCCGCUCGGGGAGAGGUUCACGACCUAUCAGCUAGUUGGUGAGGUAACGGCUCACCAAGGCUAUGACGGGUAGGCGGGCUGAGAGGCUGACCGCCCACACUGGGACUGAGAACUGCCCAGACUCCUACGGGAGGCUGCAGUCGAGAAUCUUCCGCAAUGGACGCAAGUCUGACGGAGCGACGCCGCGUGCGGGAUGAAGGUCUUUGGAUUGUAAACCGCUGUCACGCGUUAUGAAUGCGCGGCAGCCAAUAACUGCCGCGUUGACAAAGGCGCGAGAGGAAGCCACGGCUAACUCUGUGCCAGCAGCCGCGGUAAUACAGAGGUGGCAAGCGUUGCUCGGUAUCACUGGGCUUAAAGGGCGCGUAGGCGGCAAGGUACGGUUCGGGUGAAAUCCCUCGGCUCAACCGAGGAACUGCCCGGGCGACGGCCAUGCUAGACGGCAUCAGGGGAAGAUGGAACUCCCGGUGGAGCGGUGAAAUGCGUAGAUAUCGGGAGGAACGCCGGUGGCGAAAGCGAUCUUCUGGGGUGCCUGUGACGCUGAGGCGCGAAAGCUAGGGGAGCAAACGGGAUUAGAUACCCCGGUAGUCCUAGCCCUAAACGAUGCGCACUAGGUAGUGGGGUGUUCCGACGUCCCACUGCCGGAGUAAAAAUCUUAAGUGCGCCG